GCAUAAAAAAAGCCACGGUAUACACCGUGGCAAAACCCAACAUAGCUAAAUAAAAAAAGUAUCAGGAGGGCUA
rnacentral:sRNA from 1 species